rnacentral:rRNA from 1 species
GAUGAACGCUGGUGGCGUGCCUAAUACAUGCAAGUCGAGCGAACAGACGAGGAGCUUACUCCUCUGACGUUAGCGGCGGACGGGUGAGUAACACGUGGAUAACCUACCUAUAAGACUGGGAUAACUUCGGGAAACCGGAGCUAAUACCGGAUAAUAUAUUGAACCGCAUGGUUCAAUAGUGAAAGACGGUUUUGCUGUCACUUAUAGAUGGAUCCGCGCCGCAUUAGCUAGUUGGUAAGGUAACGGCUUACCAAGGCAACGAUGCGUAGCCGACCUGAGAGGGUGAUCGGCCACACUGGAACUGAGACACGGUCCAGACUCCUACGGGAGGCAGCAGUAGGGAAUCUUCCGCAAUGGGCGAAAGCCUGACGGAGCAACGCCGCGUGAGUGAUGAAGGUCUUCGGAUCGUAAAACUCUGUUAUUAGGGAAGAACAAAUGUGUAAGUAACUAUGCACGUCUUGACGGUACCUAAUCAGAAAGCCACGGCUAACUACGUG